CUUUGGCUAAUGUAAUCACCACUCUAGCCUGAAUGAACUGGUCUCAGGAGCAUGGGAGAAUCUGCCUUGCCCACCUGCUGCAAAGCUAACCUGUUCUGCUACACUGGUAUCCAAAGGAAGAAUGUUCCCAAAGCAAAGACCGUUCUGGAGGGCUUCUGACAGCUGCCUAGACUGGGUUCGGUAUCAGCCCAAGAGUAGACUUCUCUCCAAGAAGAUUCCCAAAAUGAAGCUGGGAGAGCUGUAUCCAAACCGAUGGACCCUCACACAGCAGCCCAAGAAACACUAAAAAGCAAAGCAACACAGCACCUCCUAAAGAUCGCAGCUCCUUGGUUACUGAGCACAAAAGUAAGGGAAACGGUUGAAACGUAAGACGAAGAACGCAAAAGUCUACUUGUAAAAAUGAUCAGCGACGUCAGAGAGGACACAAACCAACCGAGGACUGGACAAAGAAGUCAUGGAAGAGGGGAAGAGGUUGGCAUCAUGGGUGAGAGAUUUAUCAGGGAGAUCAAGAUUUUGAAAAGUACGCUGAAAAGAAAUGUUGGGGACAAAAAAAAAAGGUGAAAUGGAAACCAGUAAAACAAUCAAAUAAGCAAAUAACCAAAACCAUUGGUAGAUGAUGAGAGGAGGGAGGAGAAAGGAAAGGCAACUUCGAGAAAAA
rnacentral:sRNA from 1 species